ensembl:lncRNA
GUUCCUUUCCCUGGAAUUCCCAAUUUCCAAUCUCCCACCCAUCCCUGUGCCCUGUCCCUCCAUCCCUUGUCCCCAGCCCCUCCCCAGCUCUCCUGCAGGCUCCCUUUACCAGAAUCCCCAAUUCCCAAUCUCCCAUCCAUCCCUGUGUCCUGUCCCUCCCUGCCCUGUUCCCAGUCCCUCCCCAGCUCUCCUGCAGGCUCCUUUCCCUGGAAUUCCCAAUUUCCAAUCUCCCACCCAUCCCUGUGCCCUGUCCCUCCAUCUCUUGUCCCCAGUCCCUCCCCAGCUCUCCUGCAGGCUCCUUUCCCUGGAAUCCCCUCCCAGCCAGGAAUUCCCAAUCUCCCAUCCAUCCCUGUGCCCUGUCCCUCCAUCCCUUGUCCCCAGUCCCUCUCCAGCUCUCCUGGAGGCUCCCUUUACCAGAAUCCCCAAUUCCCAAUCUCCCACCCAUCCCUGUGUCCUGUCCCUCCAUCUCUUGUCCCCCAGUCCCUCUCCAGCUCUCCUGCAGGCUCCUUUCCCUGGAAUCCCCAAUUCCCAAUCUCCCAUCCAUGUCCCUGUGUCCUGUCCUUCCAUCCCUUGUCCUCAGUCCCUCCCCAGCUCUCCUGUAGGUUCCUUUCCCUGGAAUUCCCAAUCCCCAACCUCCCAUCCAUCCCUGCCCUGUCCCUGUGUCCUGUCCCUCCAUCCCUUGUCCCCAGCCCCUCCCCAGCUCUCCUGCAAAGGAAUCCCCAAUUCCCAAUCUCCCACCCAUCCCUGUCCCUCCAUCCCUUGUCCCCAGCCCCUCCCCACCUCUCCUGCAGGCUCCUUUCCCUGGAAUCCCCAAUUCCCAAUCUCCCACCCAUCCCUGCCCUGUCCCAGCCCCUGCUCCCCUGCAGGGUGCCCAGNCAGCCCCUCCUCAGCCUCCCAGGGAGGAAUUCCUUCCCAGUGUCCCAUCUCAAUCUCUCCUUGAGUUUAAAAUCAUUCCCCUUUGUCCUGGCACUCCAGCUCCUUGUUCAAGGUCCUUCUCCUGUAGGUUCCUUUCCCUGGAAUUCCCAAUUCCCAAUCUCCCACCCAUCCCUGCCCUGUGGCAGUGGGAGCCAUUCCCUGGGUCCUGUCCCCAGCCCCUCCCCAGCUCUCCUGGAGGCUCCCUUUACCAGAAUCCCCAAUUCUCAACCUCCCACCCAUCCCUGUCCUGUUCCCAGUCCCUCCCCAGCUCUCCUGCAGGCUCCUUUCCCUGGAAUCCCCAACCUUCCAUCCUUUGUCCCCAGUCCCUCUCUAGCAGGCUCCCUCCACUGGAACCCCCAAUUCCCAAUCUCCCACCCAUCCCUGUGUCCUGUCCCUCCAUCCCUUGUCCCCAGUCCCUCCCCAGCUCUCCUGCAGGCUCCCUUUACCAGAAUCCCCAAUUCCCAAUCUCCCACCCAUCCCUGUCCCGUUCCCAGUCCCUCCCCAGCUCUCCUGGAGGCUCCUUUCCCUGGAACCCCCUCCCAGCCAAGAAUUCCCAAUCUCCCAUCCAUCCCUGCCCUGUCCCUGUGCCCUGUCCUUCCAUCCCUUGUCCCCAGUCCCUCUCCAGCUCUCCUGUAG